UUGAAAAACUGGUUCCCAUAUGAUCACUGAAGUUAAGCAAUACCUAUGCUGGUCAGUACUUAGAUGGGUGACUGCUUGAGAAUACCAUGCACUGUAAG